rnacentral:rRNA from 1 species
GACGAACGCUGGCGGCGUGCUUAACACAUGCAAGUCGAACGGAAAGGCCCUGCUUUUGUGGGGUGCUCGAGUGGCGAACGGGUGAGUAACACGUGAGUAACCUGCCCUUGACUUUGGGAUAACUUCAGGAAACUGGGGCUAAUACCGGAUAGGAGCUCCUGCUGCAUGGUGGGGGUUGGAAAGUUUCGGCGGUUGGGGAUGGACUCGCGGCUUAUCAGCUUGUUGGUGGGGUAGUGGCUUACCAAGGCUUUGACGGGUAGCCGGCCUGAGAGGGUGACCGGCCACAUUGGGACUGAGAUACGGCCCAGACUCCUACGGGAGGCAGCAGUGGGGAAUAUUGCACAAUGGGCGGAAGCCUGAUGUAGCAACGCCGCGUGCGGGAUGACGGCCUUCGGGUUGUAAACCGCUUUCGACUGUGACGAAGCGUGAGUGACGGUAAUGGGUAAAGAAGCACCGGCUAACUACGUG